UCGCUCUCUCUCUCAUCCCAAAAAAGCUGAAUUAGAGUUUUUGUCAAAAUCUCUUGUGUGUGCAUGUGCAGGAAUAGGUGGGUGAAGGAAAGAAGCUCAUGUGAGUAGUACAGACCAGAGGUGGUAUUCUGCCAGUUCACCUUGGCUUGGACAAACAGAUAGCGGCGCUGGAAGGCUCCGUCCACCUGCCCAGACAUCAUCAUGGAUGCUCUGCAUAUGUGCAGAAGGUUCGGCACAUGCGCAGAAGCACUGCGUGUGAGCAAAGCAAGCACACACACACUCAUGCUCCCGGUUCCAAACUGGUUGCGAAAAUAAGAAGAUUUCAUGCCUGGUACAAACCUUUACUUGCCAUGCCCAUUGUGGAAAAUCAAUUCACCCUUUUGAAGAUUCAAAGAGGAUUGCAUCUAAUAUAAGAAAAUCCAGGAAGGAACACUCGCGACUUCUCUAGCCAAGU